AUCGAUGCCACACGAGUAAGUUGGGUAACGCCAACAAGUGGCGCGCAGAAUUGGGAAAAGUGCGUGGCGUAAUACUAGUAGUAAGAGGCAUGUCCAGAGAUGCACGAACUGGACGCGCUCAAUUGACGGUAGCAGGUUUAAGGAUACGGUCUGGGAAUGGAAAACCCGAUAUCAAAGUAAGUUUUGACCGGAGUAGAACUGAGACUCUGUAUUGAAGUACAAUACCGGAUAAUUGUAGUGAGUUUGAAGGAUGCAUUAAUAUAGAGAAUGGAAUUAUGUGAACGGAGCGUGUAUGUAUUAUGUGAACCUAAUAACCAGAAGCACUUAAUUCAAAUAAGACUUAUCAAAAGUCAGUGAACUAAACUCUUUCAAAUUCGUCAAACCAUCAUUUCGGUUCAGUAGUUUUCCCAGUGACAUAGGUCAAUUAACUACACUAUUAGAGAAAGACAAACUAGACUUCAAACAUUCCUUUAAUUCCUAAUGUCAGUUUGUUGUACCAUUCUCGUAGAAUGAGAACACUAAGUGACCCCAACAAGAUAAAUUAAGCCUCUCAGUCUGUAACCGGUACUCAAGUCAGACCAAUAGCAGCCAAGUUUCGUUUAUAGAGUAACGAUUGGAUUUUUAAUCCCAAUUCUAUCAGUCACCUAAGCCGACAUAUUAAACGCCAUUAUCAGUUAAUUCAUAAACAAGUAACGCAGUUCAAUAAUAACUUCAGCAAGUUGUGAACCAAUAUUUCGUAUUCAAACCUCUCAGCUUAUAACCCAACAUAUCCAGUUAAACCUAUUGUGAGAGUUUAUCAGCUAAAUUCUAAUGAGAAUCAAGUUUGUCCCAAUUCAAGAGAACUGUCUGUGGAAAUAAAUCAUGAAGCAUGAACAUACACCGGCAGA
rnacentral:lncRNA from 1 species